UCCCUCGUUUUGACAUUCAGCCUGCUGCCC
rnacentral:piRNA from 1 species